ACGGGUGAGUAACACGUGAGCAACCUGCCUUUCAGUGGGGGACAACAUUUGGAAACGAAUGCUAAUACCGCAUAAGACCACAGUGUCGCAUGGCACAGGGGUCAAAGGAUUUAUCCGCUGAAAGAUGGGCUCGCGUCCGAUUAGCUAGAUGGUGAGGUAACGGCCCACCAUGGCGACGAUCGGUAGCCGGACUGAGAGGUUGAACGGCCACAUUGGGACUGAGACACGGCCCAGACUCCUACGGGAGGCAGCAGUGGGGAAUAUUGCACAAUGGGGGAAACCCUGAUGCAGCGACGCCGCGUGGAGGAAGAAGGUCUUCGGAUUGUAAACUCCUGUCCCAGGGGACGAUAAUGACGGUACCCUGGGAGGAAGCACCGGCUAACUACGUGCCAGCAGCCGCGGUAAAACGUAGGGUGCAAGCGUUGUCCGGAAUUACUGGGUGUAAAGGGAGCGCAGGCGGAUUGGCAAGUUGGGAGUGAAAUCUAUGGGCUCAACCCAUAAAUUGCUUUCAAAACUGUCAGUCUUGAGUGGUGUAGAGGUAGGCGGAAUUCCCGGUGUAGCGGUGGAAUGCGUAGAUAUCGGGAGGAACACCAGUGGCGAAGGCGGCCUACUGGGCACUAACUGACGCUGAGGCUCGAAAGCAUGGGUAGCAAACAGGAUUAGAUACCCUGGUAGUCCAUGCCGUAAACGAUGAUUACUAGGUGUGGGAGGAUUGACCCCUUCCGUGCCGCAGUUAACACAAUAAGUAAUCCACCUGGGGAGUACGACCGCAAGGUUGAAACUCAAAUGAAUUGACGG
rnacentral:rRNA from 1 species